rnacentral:rRNA from 1 species
UACGGAGGGUGCAAGCGUUAUCCGGAUUUACUGGGUUUAAAGGGUGCGUAGGCGGGUAGGAAAGUCAGUGGUGAAAUCUUCGGGCUUAACCCGGAAACUGCCAUCGAUACUAUUUAUCUUGAAUACUUUGGAGGUAAGCGGAAUAUGUCAUGUAGCGGUGAAAUGCUUAGAUAUGACAUAGAACACCAAUUGCGAAGGCAGCUUACUACACAGUUAUUGACACUGAGGCACGAAAGCGUGGGGAUCAAACAGG